UACGAAGGGGCGUAGCGUUGCUCGGAAUCACUGGGCGUAAGCGCACGUAGGCGGCUUCCUAAGUCCAGGGGUGAAAUCCUGGAGCUCAACUCCAGAACUGCCUUUGAUACUGGGAGCUUGAGUCCGGGAGAUGGUGAGUGGAACUGCGAAGUGUAGAGGUGAAAUUCGUAGAUAUUCGCAAGAACACCAGUGGCGAAGGCGGCUCACUGGCCCGGUACUGACGCUGAGGUGGCGAAAGCGUGGGGAGC
rnacentral:rRNA from 1 species